CCUACGGGUGGCAGCAGUGAGGAAUAUUGGUCAAUGGCCGUAAGGCUGAACCAGCCAAGUCGCGUGAAGGAAGAAGGAUCUAUGGUUUGUAAACUUCUUUUAUAGGGGAAUAAAGGUAUCCACGUGUGGAUAUUUGCAUGUACCCUAUGAAUAAGCAUCGGCUAACUCCGUGCCAGCAGCCGCGGUAAUACGGAGGAUGCGAGCGUUAUCCGGAUUUAUUGGGUUUAAAGGGUGCGGAGGUUGUUUUUUAAGUCAGCGGUGAAAGUUUGUGGCUCAACCACAGGAUUGCCGUUGAAACUGGAAGUCUUGAGUGUGUGUGAGGUAUGCGGAAUGCGUGGUGUAGCGGUGAAAUGCAUAGAUAUCACGCAGAACUCCGAUUGCGAAGGCAGCAUACUAAGCCAUAACUGACGCUGAAGCACGAAAGCGUGGGUAUCGAACAGGAUUAGAUACCCGAGUAGUC
rnacentral:rRNA from 1 species